rnacentral:rRNA from 1 species
CCUACGGGAGGCAGCAGUGAGGAAUAUUGGUCAAUGGGCGCGAGCCUGAACCAGCCAAGUAGCGUGAAGGAUGACUGCCCUACGGGUUGUAAACUUCUUUUAUAAAGGAAUAAAGUGAGGCACGUGUGCCUUUUUGUAUGUACUUUAUGAAUAAGGAUCGGCUACCUCCGUGCCAGCAGCCGCGGUAAUACGGAGGAUCCGAGCGUUAUCCGGAUUUAUUGGGUUUAAAGGGCGUGCAGCCGGGAUGACAAGUCAGAUGUGAAAGCCCGAGGCUCAACCGCGGAACUGCAUUUGAAACUGGUUUUCUUGAGUACCGGAGAGGUCAUCGGAAUUCCUUGUGUAGCGGUGAAAUGCGUAGAUAUAAGGAAGAACACCAGUGGCGAAGGCGGAUGACUGGACGGCAACUGACGGUGAGGCGCGAAAGCGAGGGGAGCAAACGGGAUUAGAUACCCUUGUAGUC